rnacentral:rRNA from 1 species
UACGUAGGGGGCAAGCGUUGUCCGGAAUUAUUGGGCGUAAAGAGCGUGUAGGCGGUCCGGUAAGUCAGCUGUGAAAGUCAAGGGCUCAACCCUUGAAUGCCGGUUGAUACUGUCGGGCUAGAGUCCGGAAGAGGCGAGUGGAAUUCCCGGUGUAGCGGUGAAAUGCGCAGAUAUCGGGAGGAACACCAAUGGCGAAGGCAGCUCGCUGGGACGGUACUGACGCUGAGGCGCGAAAGCGUGGGGAGCAAACAGG